UACGUAGGGGGCAAGCGUUGUCCGGAUUUAUUGGGCGUAAAGAGCGUGUAGGCGGCCUUACAGGUCAGCUGUGAAAACUCGAGGCUCAACCUCGAGACGUCGGUUGAAACCGUAUGGCUAGAGUCCGGAAGAGGAGAGUGGAAUUCCCGGUGUAGCGGUGAAAUGCGCAGAUAUCGGGAAGAACACCCGUGGCGAAGGCGGCUCUCUGGGACGGUACUGACGCUGAGACGCGAAAGCGUGGGAGCGAACGACGGAAUG
rnacentral:rRNA from 1 species